AUUGAACGCUGGCGGCAGGCUUAGCACAUGCAAGUCGAGCGAGCGGCGGACGGGUGAGUAAUGUCUGGGAAACUGCCUGAUGGGGGGGGAUAACUACUGGAAACGGUAGCUAAUACCGCAUACCAUCAGAUGUGCCCAGAUGGGAUUAGCUUGUGGGUGGGGGAAUGGCUCACCUAGGCGACGAUCCCUAGCUGGUCUGAGAGGAUGACCGGCAACCCUGGACCUGAGACAGGGCCAAGAUCCCUCCGGGAGGCAGCAUAGGGGAACAUUGGAAAAGGGGGGAAGUCUGGAUGAGGCAAUGCGGGGGGGGGGAAGAAGGUUUUGGGGUUGUAAAGUAUUUUCAGCGAGGAGGCGGUACCUGACGAAGAAGCACCGGCUAACUACGUGCCAGCAGCCGCGGUAAUAC
rnacentral:rRNA from 1 species